GAUGAACGCUGGCGGCGUGCCUAAUACAUGCAAGUCGAGCGAACGGACGAGAAGCUUGCUUCUCUGAUGUUAGCGGCGGACGGGUGAGUAACACGUGGAUAACCUACCUAUAAGACUGGGAUAACUUCGGGAAACCGGAGCUAAUACCGGAUAAUAUUUUGAACCGCAUGGUUCAAAAGUGAAAGACGGUCUUGCUGUCACUUAUAGAUGGAUCCGCGCUGCAUUAGCUAGUUGGUAAGGUAACGGCUUACCAAGGCAACGAUGCAUAGCCGGCCUGAGAGGGUGAUCGGCCACACUGGAACUGAGACACGGUCCAGACUCCUACGGGAGGCAGCAGUAGGGAAUCUUCCGCAAUGGGCGGAAGCCUGACGGAGCAACGCCGCGUGAGUGAUGAAGGUCUUCGGAUCGUAAAACUCUGUUAUUAGGGAAGAACAUAUGUGUAAGUAACUGUGCACAUCUUGACGGUACCUAAUCAGAAAGCCACGGCUAACUACGUG
rnacentral:rRNA from 1 species